UUAAAGAUGUUAGGCUUAUAUUUUGAUCCUAAUCUUCAGCUAGUAUAAAUCUGCCCAGCUCAGUGGAAUGAGUGGAGCUGCAGAAACUGAAGACUGAGUCUUAUUUUUGAGACUUCCCUACGUCAUAAAUGAGGACAAAGGCCAUGAAACAGGGAGUAAGGACAACUGGCAGCUGGAACACAGAGUUGAAGAAGUCAUCAACAGGAUCAGGGUGCAACUGCUUACAACUGGGCAGUUCCUUUCAGAUCAAACCAAAAUAAAGGUUUAACACAUCAUGUUUGACACUCCAUCAUCAAGUUAUAUGACUCAACACCUUAAGGAACAACUCAGCCUGGAAAAGCACAAGAACCACUGAUAUGUCAAGAUGUUAUUUCAAGUUCAAACCAAGCAACACAACCUGUCAAAACUGUUCAAAUUAAAUUUCCCACUCUGCAGCUAAUCAUUCAUGCUUACUUUUAGUGCUGUUUACAGUUGUAUUGCUCACAGAACCUGCAGCUCUUGCACACAACACAGAAAUUCGGGUUUGUGACUGGCUAAGUGAAGGUGAUAAUGAAAUGGUUUGGUUCAUUAAACUUUUUCCAAAUAACUACAGAGUUCAUAGGAAUUUCAUAAAAUCAUAUAAUAUCCAGAGUUUUAUCCAAUUGUACUUCAGUUAGACACUUGCAAAACAAUUGACUACACAAACUAUUAAAAAUGUUUAUUUUUAAGCCAAGAAAAGCACAAAAUAUUCUGUCUUUGGAGAGCCUAAUACUACAUUCUUGAACCUUCUGUUUCUUCUUUUUCAUGCAAAUGAAUAAAAAUUAGUGUUUCCCAUUUGUUCAUAGCUUCUGUCAGACAAUUGAAGGCUGUCUCAAGCUCCAGAGAUCAA